GGGGAUGUUUAUGGAUUCGACAGGUAUAGGUCGAGUUUCAACUGCGCUUCGAAGGUUGCGUCUUCGUAAAAACGCUCAGUUUAAAUUAUAACUGCAAAAAAUAAUAACAACUCUUACGCUUUAGCUGCCUAAAUAGUAGCGGGUGUAGAUCCAGCCGGGCUUGUUCACGGCUCGUUACUGGGUCCUAAAUUUAGUGAACUUACGCUGUGAGCUUCAGUCAGGAGCAAUCAGAAGAGACUAAUCGGACUAGCGAAUCUUGAAAGCCCUGAUCAGCGGCGUUUUGAUUGGCGAAACUUAAAUAGUUGAGAUAUGAGCGUAGAGGUUGGAAUGGCGAUAUGCUUGGACGCGGGUUCAAAUCCCGCCAUCUCCAUUU
rnacentral:tmRNA from 2 species